rnacentral:ncRNA from 1 species
UACGUCCGCUGGAUUAUGCCUGAACGCCUCUAAGGUCGUAGCCAAUCCGAGCUGAUAGCGCUUCUCAAACCCAUUAGGUGUUCGGAAGCUAGCGGGCCUAACAACCCUCUGAGAUCCGUUGGAGUCUGCGUCUGCAGCCCGGCGUCUCAUCCCGCUAUACCUAGGCCGCAACGAGUGGAGUUCGCUGCACGUGUUAGUACCGGAACUGGGAACGCCGUUGGCUUGAGCUCUGCCCAACGUGGAUAUACCUAGUUUCGACACCUAUCAACCGCCCGCAAACGACGGGACUUCAGGCUGGGAGCUGCGAGUUGUAGAGAUGCGUUCGCAUCGAUCCUCUCAGGCGACCCAUGCUUGGUGGUUUGU